rnacentral:rRNA from 1 species
AUUGAACGCUGGCGGCAGGCCUAACACAUGCAAGUCGAGCGGAUGAAGGGAGCUUGCUCCUGGAUUCAGCGGCGGACGGGUGAGUAAUGCCUAGGAAUCUGCCUGGUAGUGGGGGAUAACGUCCGGAAACGGGCGCUAAUACCGCAUACGUCCUGAGGGAGAAAGUGGGGGAUCUUCGGACCUCACGCUAUCAGAUGAGCCUAGGUCGGAUUAGCUAGUUGGUGGGGUAAAGGCCUACCAAGGCGACGAUCCGUAACUGGUCUGAGAGGAUGAUCAGUCACACUGGAACUGAGACACGGUCCAGACUCCUACGGGAGGCAGCAGUGGGGAAUAUUGGACAAUGGGCGAAAGCCUGAUCCAGCCAUGCCGCGUGUGUGAAGAAGGUCUUCGGAUUGGAAAGCACUUUAAGUUGGGAGGAAGGGCAGUAAGUUAAUACCUUGCUGUUUUGACGUUACCGACAGAAUAAGCACCGGCUAACUUCGUG